UAGGGAAUCUUCCGCAAUGGACGAAAGUCUGACGGAGCAACGCCGCGUGAGUGAAGAAGGUUUUCGGAUCGUAAAACUCUGUUGUUAGAGAAGAACAUGUCUGAGAGUAACUGUUCAGGCAAUGACGGUAUCUAACCAGAAAGCCACGGCUAACUACGUGCCAG
rnacentral:rRNA from 1 species